rnacentral:rRNA from 1 species
GACGCUGGCGGCGUGCCUAAUACAUGCAAGUCGAACGGUCUUUCUAUGGAAGCUUGCUUCCACUGAGAAGAUAGUGGCGAACGGGUGAGUAACACGUGGGUAACCUGCCCAUAAGAGGGGGGAUAACAUCCGGAAACGGGUGCUAAUACCGCAUAGUUUUCUUGAUCGCAUGAUCGGGAAAGGAAAGACGGCCUUUGUGCUGUCGCUUAUGGAUGGACCCGCGGCGUAUUAGUUAGUUGGUGAGGUAAUGGCUCACCAAGACGAUGAUACGUAGCCGACCUGAGAGGGUGAUCGGCCACAUUGGGACUGAGACACGGCCCAAACUCCUACGGGAGGCAGCAGUAGGGAAUCUUCCGCAAUGGACGAAAGUCUGACGGAGCAACGCCGCGUGAGUGAAAGAAGGUUUUCGGAUCGUAAAACUCUGUUGUCAGAGAAGAACAAGUUGGAGAGUAACUGCUCCAGCCUUGACGGUAUCUGACCAGAAAGCCACGGCUAACUACGUGCCAGCCGCCGC